rnacentral:rRNA from 1 species
AUUGAACGCUGGCGGCAGGCCUAACACAUGCAAGUCGAGCGAGCGGCGGACGGGUGAGUAAUGUCUGGGAAACUGCCUGAUGGAGGGGGAUAACUACUGGAAACGGUAGCUAAUAACGCAUACCAGCAGAUGUGCACAGAUGGGAUUAGCUAGUAGGUGGGGUAACGUCUCACCUAGGCGACGAUCCCUAGCUGGGCUGAGAGGAUGACCAGCCCAACUGGAACUGAGACCUGGUCCAGACUCCUACGGGAGGCAGCAGUGGGGAAUUUUGCACAAUGGGCGCAAGCCUGAUCCAGCCAUGCCGCGUGUGUGCAGAAGGCCUUCGUGCUGUAAAGCACUUUCAGCGGGGAGGCGUUACCCGCAGAAGAAGCACCGGCUAACUCCGUGCCAGCAGCCGCGGUAAUUC